CUGUCAUCUCUGCAGUUCCUAAUUCGAAGGAAGUGCAACAACUUGAAUUUAAAUUCAGAUUUCCUAUCGAAAGAGAUCCGUGAUACGAUCGGUCAUCCAUUUGUCCUUGGCUAUUCCUUCAAUAAAUUCCCGGAGUAACAGUCAACGAUGAAGCAAACUCCCAAAAACAAACGAUGGUUGACAAGUGCAUCGACGUACCUAAAAAAAUCGGUUCCAACUGUUCCAGCAUGCCCCUUGCUCCCAUUAGCUACUGGGCUUAUGAUGUCACCAAGGAUUUCAUAACAAAGAUGUGUCGGAAAAUCACAAACUACCAGUGAUGUAGGAAAAUCGAAAACGAAAACAUAAUUAUUCCGAGGUGACGUAUAGAAUAAAUUUGGCCUGGGAGACAAUGCUGAGUCUGAAGCCUUAUGUCCAUUUACCUGGCGAUAUAAUGAAUCAAGUUUUGAAUCAUAUUAUGUGAGUAUAAUAAGCAUAUAUGUAUGCAAAAAUGAAAAAUAUAUGCAUCAGAACAGUUAAACGUU